UCGAGAAUCAUUCACAAUGGGCGAAAGCCUGAUGGUGCGACGCCGCGUGGAGGAUGAAGGCCCUAGGGUUGUAAACUCCUGUCAUCAGGGAGUAAAGCAUCGGGUAGUAAUAUGACUCGAUGCCUGAUAGUACCUGAAGAGGAAGAGACGGCUAACUCUGUGCCAGCAGCCGCGGUAAUACAGAGGUCUCAAGCGUUGUUCGGAAUCACUGGGCGUAAAGAGUACGUAGGCGGCAGGGUAAGUCAGAUGUGAAAUCUCCGGGCUCAACCUGGAAACUGCAUCCGAUACUGCCUUGCUAGAGUAGUGGAGGGGCGACUGGAAUUCACGGUGUAGCAGUGAAAUGCGUAGAUAUCGUGAGGAACACUAGUGGCGAAGGCGAGUCGCUGGACACUUACUGACGCUGAGGUACGAAGGCCAGGGGAGCGAAGCGGAUUAGAUACCCGCGUAGUCCUGGCGAGUAAACGGUGUGCACUUGGUGUAGGCGGCUUUGUCCCCGUCUGUGCCGGAGCUAACGCGUUAAGUGCACCGCCUGGGGAAGUACGGCCGCAAGGCUA
rnacentral:rRNA from 1 species